rnacentral:misc_RNA from 1 species
GAUGAAGAACGUAGCGAAAUGCGAUAAUUAAUGUGAAUUGCAGAAUUCCGUGAAUCAUCGAGUUUUUGAACGCACAUUGCGCCCGCCAGUAUUCUGGCGGGCAUGCCUGUCCGAGCGUCAUUUCAACCCUCGAACCCCUCCGGGGGGUCGGCGUUGGGGAUCGGCACUUACCUGCCGGCCCCGAAAUACAGUGGCGGUCUCGCCGCAGCCUCUCCUGCGCAGUAGUUUGCACACUCGCACCGGGAGCGCGGCGCGUCCACGGCCGUAAAACAACCCAAACUUCUGAAAUGUUGACCUCGGAUCAGGUAGGAAUACCCGCUGAACUUAAGCAUAUCAAUAAGCGGAGGA